rnacentral:tRNA from 1 species
GGGCGGUUAGCUCAGUGGUUUGAGCGCUGUGCUGGCAACAAGAAUCAACACCGAGGUCGUGGGUUCGAUUCCUGCUCGGUCCC